CCGAGGCUGCAGUGCAGUGGCGCGAUCUCAGCUCACCGCCUCCCCGGUUCAAGCGAUUCUCCUGCCUCAGCCUCUCGAGUAGCUGAGAUUACAGGCUCCCACCCCCACACCCGGUUAAUUUUUGUAUUUUUAGAGAGACAGGGUUUCACCAUGUUGGCAGGGCUGGUCUCAAACCCGUGACCUCGUGAUCUGCCCACCUCAGCCUCCCAAAGUGCUGGGAUUACAGGCGUGAACACUGCGUGAAAGUUUUUCGUUGCAGAAAGGAGCCCUCGGCUCCUGUCAGUCAGGGGCAGAGGGGAGGACGCUGGGUUCUCUCCUCAGUGGAGGCUGAAGACCUGGGAAAGAAGGAAAGCUGCAGUGUUGUGCCCUCGAGGAACCUGGGAGGUGCUGGCUGCCCUGUGUGGACUCCCUUGCUUUCUGCUCUCCCGGCACUCAGGGUCUCCAUAAGGGUCUCUCUUUGCCCUCACCCCUGCAGACUUUGUGGAUGGCAGUGUGCUCCGUGAGGAUGGGGAGAGGUGCCGGGCGGUGGUGGUGCUGGCGGGAGGGAGGUGAGGCUCAGUCCACCGGCUACAGAGGGCUCUAGCGCAGCAAAGCUGGUUGGACCUAGCUCUGACCCCUCAGCUCAAAGCCUGGGUUAGGAAGUUUUCAUGAGCACCGAGAAUGAAGAGAAGUAAAAAGGGACACUUGUGACUUGCUGGGGCUGAGCCACCCCUAACCCCAAGAAAGGUCUAGAGAACAAGAAAAGAACCACUGCAAACCUGGGGUGUUGCAGGCGAACUGGGGGGGACUCGGGGGGGGGGGCUGGGGGGGCGGGGGGGGGGCCUGGGGGGGGGGUUUGGGGGGGGGAACUCGUGCUUUUUGUAAUAAAAUCUGUAAAGCUGGUGAACA
rnacentral:lncRNA from 13 species